GUUGUGGAGGUGUUGGGAGACAGCAGUUCAUCAGCAGAGGCGCAGAAGAGGCUCGUUUCGUCGGGCCUGAGUGCCAGUGACGCAUCCCGGAUAGUUCAGAAGUGCUGGAAGAGGUCUCGACGGAAAGCUGCCAAGGCGGAAAGGGAAAACAUUGACCCUAAACAGACUCCUGCACAACAGGAGCAGCGAACGGAGGUCGCCGCCGACAUCACGGCACCCGUCUCGGUACGUGUCCCCGAGCCGGGCCUACCGUACCCAGAGGGCGAGACCCGCGGUGUCGGCCGGGCGGCGGCCAGUCCAGAGAGGAGGGCCAUCUCCCCCGGACGGUGGCUGAUUGGGUUCCAGCAGAGAGCCGCACGGCUCUUCUCCGGGGUGGAGGCACCUGGCAAACAGGCUGGCAAGAGCAGCCCGACUGCUGCGGCGGCCGCCCCCGCCGAGAGAGCCGAAAAGAGGGCGGCGUCAGUGUCCCCGCGCCUGUCGCCGCACAAAGUGUUCUCAUCCGAGCAGCGGCUAGC